rnacentral:rRNA from 1 species
UACAGAGGUCCCGAGCGUUGUUCGGAUUCACUGGGCGUAAAGGGUGCGUAGGUGGUUAGGUAAGUCCGAUGUGAAAUCUCCAGGCUCAACCUGGAAAUGGCAUUGGAUACUAUUUAGCUUGAGGAGUGGAGGGGGGACUGGAAUUCUCGGUGUAGCAGUGAAAUGCGUAGAUAUCGAGAGGAACACCAGUGGCGAAGGCGAGUCCCUGGACACUUCCUGACACUGAGGCACGAAAGCUAGGGGAGCAAAACAGG